rnacentral:rRNA from 1 species
GUAGGGAAUAUUGCGCAAUGGACGAAAGUCUGACGCAGCGACGCCGCGUGAGUGAUGAAGGCCUUAGGGUCGUAAAGCUCUGUUGAAUGGGAAGAAAAAAAUGACGGUACCAUUCGAGGAAGGACCGGCUAACUUCGUGCCAGCAGCCGCGGUAUUACGAGGGGUCCUAGCGUUGUUCGGAAUCAUUGGGCGUAAAGGGUGUGUAGGUGGCCAUGUAAGUCAGGUGUGAAAGCCCCGGGCUCAACCCGGGAAGUGCACUUGAUACUGCGUGGCUUGAGUACCGAAGAGGGUAGUGGAAUUCCAGGUGUAGUGGUGAAAUACGUAGAUAUCUGGAGGAACACCGGUGGCGAAGGCGGCUACCUGGUCGAGUACUGACACUGAGACACGAAAGCAUGGGGAUCAAACAGGAUUAGAUACUCCUGUAGUCC